UACCUGGUUGAUCCCUG
rnacentral:rRNA from 1 species